AGCGAACGCUGGCGGCAGGCCUAACACAUGCAAGUCGAACGAACCUUUCGGGGUUAGUGGCGGACGGGUGAGUAACACGUGGGAACGUGCCUUUAGGUUCGGAAUAACUCAGGGAAACUUGUGCUAAUACCGAAUGUGCCCUUCGGGGGAAAGAUUUAUCGCCUUUAGAGCGGCCCGCGUCUGAUUAGCUAGUUGGUUGAGGUAAUGGCUCACCAAGGCGACGAUCAGUAGCUGGUCUGAGAGGAUGAUCAGCCACAUUGGGACUGAGACACGGCCCAAACUGCGACGGGAGGCAGCAGUGGGGAAUCUUGCGCAAUGGGCGAAAGCCUGACGCAGCCAUGCCGCGUGAAUGAUGAAGGUCUUAGGAUUGUAAAAUUCUUUCACCGGGGACGAUAAUGACGGUACCCGGAGAAGAAGCCCCGGCUAACUUCGUG
rnacentral:rRNA from 1 species